GUGGGAAACGAUGUGGGAAGGCCCAGACAGCCAGGAUGUUGGCUUAGAAGCAGCCAUCAUUUAAAGAAAGCGUAAUAGCUCACUGGUCGAGUCGGCCUGCGCGGAAGAUGUAACGGGGCUAAACCAUGCACCGAAGCUGCGGCAGCGACGCUUAUGCGUUGUUGGGUAGGGGAGCGUUCUGUAAGCCUGCGAAGGUGUGCUGUGAGGCAUGCUGGAGGUAUCAGAAGUGCGAAUGCUGACAUAAGUAACGAUAAAGCGGGUGAAAAGCCCGCUCGCCGGAAGACCAAGGGUUCCUGUCCAACGUUAAUCGGGGCAGGGUGAGUCGACCCCUAAGGCGAGGCCGAAAGGCGUAGUCGAUGGGAAACAGGUUAAUAUUCCUGUACUUGGUGUUACUGCGAAGGGGGGACGGAGAAGGCUAUGUUGGCCGGGCGACGGUUGUCCCGGUUUAAGCGUGUAGGCUGGUUUUCCAGGCAAAUCCGGAAAAUCAAGGCUGAGGCGUGAUGACGAGGCACUACGGUGCUGAAGCAACAAAUGCCCUGCUUCCAGGAAAAGCCUCUAAGCAUCAGGUAACAUCAAAUCGUACCCCAAACCGACACAGGUGGUCAGGUAGAGAAUACCAAGGCGCUUGAGAGAACUCGGGUGAAGGAACUAGGCAAAAUGGUGCCGUAACUUCGGGAGAAGGCACGCUGAUAUGUAGGUGAAGUCCCUCGCGGAUGGAGCUGAAAUCAGUCGAAGAUACCAGCUGGCUGCAACUGUUUAUUAAAAACACAGCACUGUGCAAACACGAAAGUGGACGUAUACGGUGUGACGCCUGCCCGGUGCCGGAAGGUUAAUUGAUGGGGUCAGCGCAAGCGAAGCUCUUGAUCGAAGCCCCGGUAAACGGCGGCCGUAACUAUAACGGUCCUAAGGUAGCGAAAUUCCUUGUCGGGUAAGUUCCGACCUGCACGAAUGGCGUAAUGAUGGCCAGGCUGUCUCCACCCGAGACUCAGUGAAAUUGAACUCGCUGUGAAGAUGCAGUGUACCCGCGGCAAGACGGAAAGACCCCGUGAACCUUUACUAUAGCUUGACACUGAACAUUGAGCCUUGAUGUGUAGGAUAGGUGGGAGGCUUUGAAGUGUGGACGCCAGUCUGCAUGGAGCCGACCUUGAAAUACCACCCUUUAAUGUUUGAUGUUCUAACGUUGACCCGUAAUCCGGGUUGCGGACAGUGUCUGGUGGGUAGUUUGACUGGGGCGGUCUCCUCCUAAAGAGUAACGGAGGAGCACGAAGGUUGGCUAAUCCUGGUCGGACAUCAGGAGGUUAGUGCAAUGGCAUAAGCCAGCUUGACUGCGAGCGUGACGGCGCGAGCAGGUGCGAAAGCAGGUCAUAGUGAUCCGGUGGUUCUGAAUGGAAGGGCCAUCGCUCAACGGAUAAAAGGUACUCCGGGGAUAACAGGCUGAUACCGCCCAAGAGUUCAUAUCGACGGCGGUGUUUGGCACCUCGAUGUCGGCUCAUCACAUCCUGGGGCUGAAGUAGGUCCCAAGGGUAUGGCUGUUCGCCAUUUAAAGUGGUACGCGAGCUGGGUUUAGAACGUCGUGAGACAGUUCGGUCCCUAUCUGCCGUGGGCGCUGGAGAACUGAGGGGGGCUGCUCCUAGUACGAGAGGACCGGAGUGGACGCAUCACUGGUGUUCGGGUUGUCAUGCCAAUGGCACUGCCCGGUAGCUAAAUGCGGAAGAGAUAAGUGCUGAAAGCAUCUAAGCACGAAACUUGCCCCGAGAUGAGUUCUCCCUGACUCCUUGA
rnacentral:rRNA from 1 species